GAAUAAGCGCAUAUGGUGGAUGCCUAGGCAGUUAGAGGCGAUGAAGGACGUUGUAGUCUGCGAUAAGCCAGGGGGAGGUGACAAACAACCGUUAUAUCCCUGGAUUUCCGAAUGGGGAAACCCAACUCGUAAGAGUUAUCUUUACCUGAAUACAUAGGGUAAAGAAGCUAACCCGGAGAACUGAAUCAUCUAAGUACCCGGAGGAAAAGAAAUCAAUUGAGAUUCCCUUAGUAGCGGCGAGCGAAAGGGGACCAGCCAGCAAUCUUUAUUCAUUAUGUUAGGAGAACGAUCUGGAAAGGUCGGCAAUAUAAGGUGAUAGCCCUGUAUCCGAAAACAUUUUGGAAGAACUAAGUUUGCAACAAGUAGGUCGGGGCACGUGUAACCUUGACUGAACAUGGGGGGACCAUCCUCCAAGGCUAAAUACUCCUAACUGACCGAUAGUGAACUAGUACCGUGAGGGAAAGGCGAAAAGAACCCCUGUGAGGGGAGUGAAAUAGAACCUGAAACCGUGUACGUACAAGCAGUAGGAGCAGACUUGUUCUGUGACUGCGUACCUUUUGUAUAAUGGGUCAGCGACUUAUAUUUAGUAGCAAGGUUAACCGAAUAGGGGAGCCGUAGCGAAAGCGAGUGUUAACUGCGCGUUUAGUUGCUAGGUAUAGACCCGAAACCCGGUGAUCUAGCCAUGGGCAGGUUGAAGGUUGAGUAACAUCAACUGGAGGACCGAACCCACUAACGUUGAAAAGUUAGGGGAUGACCUGUGGCUAGGAGUGAAAGGCUAAUCAAACCGGGAGAUAGCUGGUUCUCCCCGAAAUCUAUUUAGGUAGAGCCUCGGACGAAUACUUACGGGGGUAGAGCACUGUUAAGGCUAGGGGGUCAUCCCGACUUACCAACCCUUUGCAAACUCCGAAUACCGUAAAGUACUAUCCGGGAGACACACGGCGGGUGCUAACGUCCGUCGUGAAGAGGGAAACAACCCAGACCGCCAGCUAAGGUCC
rnacentral:rRNA from 1 species